AUCAGCUUUUCAAACCCCCUCUUCUUCACAAAACUGCUUUCGUACCAAUGACCUCCACUUUGCAUGAUCCAAUGGGCCAAUUCUCAGCCCUCGGCAGCACUUGGCAUAGUUUGUCACUCUCUCCUGAGCACCACACUGGCCUGGCUCUUUCUGCCUCAUUGGUUCCUCCUCAGCUGACUUGGUCUCUCCUUUUCUGCACUGGACUGUCCAUGUUGGUUUGCUCCAGGCUCAGUUCUUGAACUUCUGUCUACCUUUGGUGAUCAUUCAAGCUCAAGGUUUAAACAUCCAUAUUUGCUGAUGACUCACAAAUCUCAUCUCCAGCUCUGACCUCUCUCCCAAACUCCAGAUGGACAUUUCAACUGCCCACUCACAUCUCCAUUUGGAUAUUUUAUAAGUCAGGAAACCAGAAGAUGUGCUAUGCAUCUGAGUAUGAAGGGUUUGAAUACAGGGGACUGGAAGUUUAAACAAUGGCGAGAAGGCCUGGGGAGGAACAGGCAAAAGAAUUGUCAAAGGCUCAGACACAGACGACAGUAUGGUGAUUACUAGAGAAAAAGGGGGUGGGGGCAGGUAGGAGAGGGUAAAGGGGGGAUAAGUGGUGAUGGAAGGAGACUUGAUUUUGGGUGGUGAGCACACAAUACCAUCUAUUAUAGGUUGUACAGCUGAACCCUAUAUAAUUUUAUUAUCCAAUGUUACCCCAAUAAAUUCAAUAAAAAUUAAAAAAAAAUUAUCACUUCUGUUUCAGCUGGCAGUAAGCACAUGCAGGAAGCCACUGCAGGAUCCUCCACCAACUCUCAGGCUGCAGCAUAAGGCUGUGAAGCUGCUGGAAUAACAUGCACCCACCAACUAUCCCUGAUGUGGGCAAUUUUCAAAGAGCUCCCUCAGAAGCCACUUGGAACUCCUUCUGGCUUUAACAACUCCCAGAGGACAGGGACUCCAGUCUCAGGCCUCUCACUGGAUGACUUCAGUGGAGCAGGAGAUUCUGGGAAAUCCAUGUGGAAUCUAUGUGUUGAAGACCGAAGAGCAAGGAGAUGGAAGGAACUAGGGUCUAAAUCACUGCUUGGAGCACAGCUGCCUGAAGAUCACUUAAUUGAAAAUUUCAUAGACAAUGGAAGGGAGAGAAAGAGAAACAUC